rnacentral:rRNA from 1 species
GAUGAACGCUGGCGGCGUGCCUAAUACAUGCAAGUCGAGCGAACGGACGAGAAGCUUGCUUCUCUGAUGUUAGCGGCGGACGGGUGAGUAACACGUGGAUAACCUACCUAUAAGACUGGGAUAACUUCGGGAAACCGGAGCUAAUACCGGAUGAUAUUUUGAACCGCAUGGUUCAAAAGUGAAAGACGGUCUUGCUGUCACUUAUAGAUGGAUCCGCGCUGCAUUAGCUAGUUGGUAAGGUAACGGCUUACCAAGGCAACGAUGCAUAGCCGACCUGAGAGGGUGAUCGGCCACACUGGAACUGGGACACGGUCCAGACUCCUACGGGAGGCAGCAGUAGGGAAUCUUCCGCAAUGGGCGAAAGCCUGACGGAGCAACGCCGCGUGAGUGAUGAAGGUCUUCGGAUCGUACAACUCUGUUAUUAGGGAAGAACAUAUGUGUAAGUAACUGUGCACAUCUUGACGGUACCUAAUCAGAAAGCCACGGCUAACUACGUG